AGAGUUUGAUCCUGGCUCAGGAUGAACGCUGGCGGCGUGCCUAAUACAUGCAAGUCGAGCGAACGGACGAGAAGCUUGCUUCUCUGAUGUUAGCGGCGGACGGGUGAGUAACACGUGGAUAACCUACCUAUAAGACUGGGAUAACUUCGGGAAACCGGAGCUAAUACCGGAUGAUAUUUUGAACCGCAUGGUUCAAAAGUGAAAGACGGUCUUGCUGUCACUUAUAGAUGGAUCCGCGCUGCAUUAGCUAGUUGGUAAGGUAACGGCUUACCAAGGCAACGAUGCAUAGCCGACCUGAGAGGGUGAUCGGCCACACUGGAACUGAGACACGGUCCAGACUCCUACGGGAGGCAGCAGUAGGGAAUCUUCCGCAAUGGGCGAAAGCCUGACGGAGCAACGCCGCGUGAGUGAUGAAGGUCUUCGGAUCGUAAAACUCUGUUAUUAGGGAAGAACAUAUGUGUAAGUAACUGUGCACAUCUUGACGGUACCUAAUCAGAAAGCCACGGCUAACUACGUGCCAGCAGCCGCGGUAAUACGUAGGUGGCAAGCGUUAUCCGGAAUUAUUGGGCGUAAAGCGCGCGUAGGCGGUUUUUUAAGUCUGAUGUGAAAGCCCACGGCUCAACCGUGGAGGGUCAUUGGAAACUGGAAAACUUGAGUGCAGAAGAGGAAAGUGGAAUUCCAUGUGUAGCGGUGAAAUGCGCAGAGAUAUGGAGGAACACCAGUGGCGAAGGCGACUUUCUGGUCUGUAACUGACGCUGAUGUGCGAAAGCGUGGGGAUCAAACAGGAUUAGAUACCCUGGUAGUCCACGCCGUAAACGAUGAGUGCUAAGUGUUAGGGGGUUUCCGCCCCUUAGUGCUGCAGCUAACGCAUUAAGCACUCCGCCUGGGGAGUACGACCGCAAGGUUGAAACUCAAAGGAAUUGACGGGGACCCGCACAAGCGGUGGAGCAUGUGGUUUAAUUCGAAGCAACGCGAAGAACCUUACCAAAUCUUGACAUCCUUUGACAACUCUAGAGAUAGAGCCUUCCCCUUCGGGGGACAAAGUGACAGGUGGUGCAUGGUUGUCGUCAGCUCGUGUCGUGAGAUGUUGGGUUAAGUCCCGCAACGAGCGCAACCCUUAAGCUUAGUUGCCAUCAUUAAGUUGGGCACUCUAAGUUGACUGCCGGUGACAAACCGGAGGAAGGUGGGGAUGACGUCAAAUCAUCAUGCCCCUUAUGAUUUGGGCUACACACGUGCUACAAUGGACAAUACAAAGGGCAGCGAAACCG
rnacentral:rRNA from 1 species